CCUACGGGUGGCAGCAGUGGGGAAUAUUGCACAAUGGGGGAAACCCUGAUGCAGCGACGCCGCGUGAGUGAAGAAGUAAUUCGUUAUGUAAAGCUCUAUCAGCAGGGAAGAAAAUGACGGUACCUGAGUAAUAAUCCCCGGCUCACUACGUGCCAGCAGCCGCGGUAACACGGAGGGGGCAAGCGUUAUCCGGAUUUACUGGGUGUAAAUGGAGCGUAGAGGGCAGUGCAAGUCUGGAGUGAAAGGUGGGGGUUCAACCCCCGGACUGCUCUGGAAACUGUACGGCUGGAGUGCAGGAGAGGUAAGUGGAAUUCCUAGUGUAGCGGUGAAAUGCGUAGAUAUUAGGAAGAAUACCAGUGGCGAAGGCAGCUUACUGGACUGUAACUGACGUUGAGGCUCGAAAGCGUGGGGAGCGAACAGGAUUAGAUACCCCAGUAGUC
rnacentral:rRNA from 1 species